rnacentral:rRNA from 1 species
AACGCUAGCUACAGGCUUAACACAUGCAAGUCGAGGGGCAGCAUGGUCUUAGCUUGCUAAGACUGAUGGCGACCGGCGCACGGGUGAGUAACACGUAUCCAACCUGCCGUCUACUCUUGGACAGCCUUCUGAAAGGAAGAUUAAUACAAGAUGGCAUCAUGAGUCCGCAUGUUCACAUGAUUAAAGGUAUUCCGGUAGACGAUGGGGAUGCGUUCCAUUAGAUAGUAGGCGGGGUAACGGCCCACCUAGUCUUCGAUGGAUAGGGGUUCUGAGAGGAAGGUCCCCCACAUUGGAACUGAGACACGGUCCAAACUCCUACGGGAGGCAGCAGUGAGGAAUAUUGGUCAAUGGGCGAGAGCCUGAACCAGCCAAGUAGCGUGAAGGAUGACUGCCCUAUGGGUUGUAAACUUCUUUUAUAAAGGAAUAAAGUCGGGUAUGGAUACCCGUUUGCAUGUACUUUAUGAAUAAGGAUCGGCUAACUCCGUGCCAGCAGCCGCGGUAAUACGGAGGAUCCGAGCGUUAUCCGGAUUUAUUGGGUUUAAAGGGAGCGUAGAUGGAUGUUUAAGUCAGUUGUGAAAGUUUGCGGCUCAACCGUAAAAUUGCAGUUGAUACUGGAUAUCUUGAGUGCAGUUGAGGCAGGCGGAAUUCGUGGUGUAGCGGUGAAAUGCUUAGAUAUCACGAAGAACUCCGAUUG